AUUGNNGGGGCCNCCCAAGCAGGGANCUUNGNUUUAUUNGAAGCAACGGGAAGACCUUACUUAGGCUUGGCAUCCCCUGCAUACCCCAGAGAUKGGSGAANUCCUUCGGGCCAGGGAGCCAGUGGUGCAUGGUUGUCGUCAGCUCGUGUCGUGAGAUGUUGGGUUAAGUCCCCGCAACGAGCGCAACCCUUUMUCWUUAGUUGGCUAYCCMUUAAGUUGAGCACUCUAGUGAGACUAGCCCGGUGAUAACCGGGAGGAAGGUGGGGAUGACGUCAAAUCAUCAUGCCCCUUAUGUCUAGGGCUACACACGUGCUACAAUGGGCAGUACAAUAAGAUGCAACCUCGUGAGAGUGAGCCAAACUUUAAAACUGUUCCCAGUUCGGAUUGUAGGCUGCAACUCGCCUACAUGAAGCCGGAGUUGCUAGUAAUCGCGAAUCAGCAUGUCGCGGUGAAUACGUUCCCGGGCCUUGUACACACCGCCCGUCACACCAUGAGAGCUGGUAACACCCGAAGUCCGUGAGGUAACCGCAAGGAGCCAGCGGCCGANGGUGGGAUUAGUGAUUGGGGUGAAGGGUAACAAGGUUNNUUUUGGGC
rnacentral:rRNA from 1 species